GACGAACGCUUGCGGCGUGCCUAAGAAAUGCAAGUCGAGCGGAAGCAGCAAUGCUUUAGCGGCGAACGGUCGCGUAACACGUAAGCAACCUGCCCGAAAGACCGGGACAACACUCCGAAAGGGGUGCUAAUACCGGAUGUGCCCACUUCCUUGCAUGUGGAGGUGAGUAAAACGCGCAAAAACUUCGCCCUAACCAAGGUGCUUCAACACACUUCUGGAAACACGGUUGUUGGCAAGAGCAACCUUCGGGUUGUUGGAAGCAACUUCUGUGUGACCAGUCGGUAGUGAGGCAUUUUGGUUAGAGUGAAGGGAUGUGGCGGCUUUUGGAGGGGCUUGCGGCCUAUCAGAUAGUUGGUGGGGUAACGGCCUACCAAGUCAUCGACGGGUAGC
rnacentral:rRNA from 1 species